rnacentral:rRNA from 1 species
UACAGAGGGGGCAAGCGUUGUUCGGAAUUACUGGGCGUAAAGGGCGCGCAGGCGGCGGAUCAAGUCAGAUGUGAAAGCCCCGGGCUUAACCUGGGAACUGCAUUUGGGACUGGUUUGCUAGAGAUCGGGAGAGGAGAGUGGAAUUCCCAGUGUAGAGGUGAAAUUCGUAGAUAUUGGGAAGAACACCGGUGGCGAAGGCGGCUCUCUGGACCGAUACUGACGCUGAGGCGCGAAAGCGUGGGGAGCAAACAGG